rnacentral:rRNA from 1 species
AGGACGAACGCUGGCGGCGUGCUUAACACAUGCAAGUCGAGCGGAAAGGCCCUUCGGGGUACUCGAGCGGCGAACGGGUGAGUAACACGUGAGCAACCUGCCCCUGGCUCUGGGAUAGCCUCCGGAAACGGGGAUUAAUACCGGACAUGACCUGCUGCCGCAUGGUGGCGGGUGGAAAGUUUUUCGGCCAGGGUGGGGCUCGCGGCCUAUCAGCUUGUUGGGGGGGUGACGGCCCACCAAGGCGACGACGGGUAGCCGGCCUGAGAGGGCGACCGGCCACACUGGGACUGAGACACGGCCCAGACUCCUACGGGAGGCAGCAGUGGGGAAUAUUGCGCAAUGGGCGGAAGCCUGACGCAGCGACGCCGCGUGCGGGAUGAAGGCCUUCGGGUUGUAAACCGCUUUCACCAGGGGCGAAGCGAGAGUGACGGUACCUGGGGAAGAAGGCGCCGGCUAACGUACGCGCCAGCAGCCGC